AAAAUGAUAAUAUAAUUUGCGUAAUAUGGAACGAUACAGAGAAGAUUAGCAUGGCCCCUGCGCAAGGAUGACACGCAAAAUCGUGAAGCGUUCCACAUUAAG
rfam:Bombyx mori DNA, contig: Bm_scaf1_contig1162, strain: p50T/Dazao, build 2, whole genome shotgun sequence.